AAUAAACGAAUUUAUGAGUUUUUAUAGGAUUUUUAACUUUUCGUCUUAUUUGAAAUAUUUUUAUGAUUAAUAUUUUAUUAUUAUUACAUGAUAAAACAUGAAUAAUAAUACUUUACAUGUGACUGAUUUUUUUUAGUUUUUUAUUAAAUUUUUUAAAUACGACGGAUGGUCAAACGCUCGACCUACAAAAGCCAG
rnacentral:pre_miRNA from 1 species